GUCGAAUAGCGCAAUGGUUAACGCUCCGGGGUUGCACUCACAAGGUCGCUAGUUCGAGUCUAGUGGAUGACA